GUGUGUGUGAGAGAGAGAGAGAGAGAGAGAGAGAGAGAGAGAGAGAGAGAGAGAGAGAGAGCACAUUACAGGCCCAGACAGAUCUGUAAGAAUCAGCGCUGUAGCUCAGCAGUGCAGGAUUGUAAUGGAGUAUGUUUGUGUCUCUUCUCUUCUCUUCUCUUCUCUUCUCUUCUCUUCUCUUCUCUUCUCUUCUCUUCUCUUUUUCACCUAUGCUAUACUUGACAGUCUGCUAACAGCAGAGUUUAAACUUUAUUGCUAAAAUUCUUUUUCAUGCUAAUUCUGUUUUGUUCUGUUUUCAUUUGUUAAUGAAAAAAAACAACCCAGAGACUUUUAGGAAACCUUUAGCCACAUAACUAGCUAACAUCAGUAAUGUGAAGGAGAAAUGAUUACUAACUAGCCACUGGCUAACUGUGUUAUUGCUAGUUGUUUCCAAAGUGUGACAAGUAUGAGCUUGUGUACUAGCAGCUAAGUAGCAAAACAUGCUAAUAGUUGAAGCUAAUAACUAAAGGUGAAGUGAACGCUUUUGCUAAACAAACUUAUCAUACGAUCGAGAUUCGUACCGAAGCUCCGCUCAUGUUAGCAGUGGCCUGCUAGCCUGCUAGCUGUUUGUGCAUGUUCACUUUCACGGAUGCUCUCUGCCUUCAUGUUAGCUUUGUUAGCACCUUCCUCUGUCCCAGAACCUUAGCUGUGGUACCAGGAUGUGGAAUCCACUAGCGGUUUAUCUUCACGGGCUUGUUUGGAAUGAUGACUUGUCAGAUAUUCUACUUAUCUUAGAAGCGUAUGCGCUUUUGCUCUGGAGAUUAGCAGCAUUAGUGUGUGCCAGUGGAAGAAUGUUCAUCAAUUGGAAGCGGCUGUGCUUGUCACCGGGAGAAAAUUCACGAGCAGAGCAGCGUAGAAAAAAAAACAAGGCUCUCGUAAGUGAGGAGACGGCGGGUGGGAAGUCAACAGAGGACACAGGAGAAGGAGCCUCGGGCUGAGAGAGGCGUUAAAAUCAAAGUCAACCGGAUUGUUGCCGGUUUUGAUCAGACAAAUGUGCAGUGAUGCAGUUCACCAGCUCUCUCGAGCCUCCACCUACUCCAGCUCAGCUUCAGGUGAAUUAGGGAUCAGAGGAGCUGAGUAUCAGGUUGGUUUCACACAAAGCACCGAGCUGUGAGGAGAUCCAGACGCCGGUGUCACGGGGGCGUUAAAGCAGAGCUCAGCGUGGAGCAGAGCACUAGAAAGCUGUAACCCGACACCGUGUAAUACUUCGGCGGAAUAUAGAAAGGCACGCGGAGCUCAGGUUCACUGGGAGUGGUAUUGAUUGGACACAGAGCCUCUGUGUGCACGUCUAAGGCGGCGGUGCAGGAGCCACGAGCGCACUGAGACUGCGCGAGAGCCACGAGGUUGUUUGAGGAAACGCCUGAAACUCUGUCCUGCGAUCAUCCCUGCUCACAUUGCCUGCAGCACUGUGUGUGUGUGUGUGUGUGUGUGUGUGUGUGUGUGUGUGUGUGUGUGUGUUCAGCGUGCCUUUACGUGUGAGAAAAGCACUUGGAGCAGGAAGUAUUUGCUGAACGCUGAUGUCGUGCAUCCUGGUGCUCUUCGAAAACACACUCAGGCCGCGACUCAAUCAGCCACGUUCCCUAGUUCCCUAGGUGAUGAGUCACUUUAUAGUGCACACACAAUAAAGAUACUGACUUGCUCCACAUCGGGACUCUGGUGUCUGUUUUAUCAUAAUUUUUAAAAAUCACUAAAUAGGAUUAGCAUCCAGUAAGGGAAGGUAGUGUUAUAGGUUAAUAUCCGAAAUAUGAAAUGACAGAUUUCUAAACAUUCUAGCACAAAUAAAAAUGAAACAUCACUUUA